rnacentral:rRNA from 1 species
UACGGAGGGUGCGAGCGUUGUCCGGAAUCACUGGGCGUAAAGGGUGCGUAGGCGGGUCUUUUAAGUCAGGGGUGAAAUCCUGGAGCUCAACUCCAGAACUGCCUUUGAUACUGAAGAUCUUGAGUCCGGGAAGAGGUGAGUGGAACUGCGAGUGUAGAGGUGAAAUUCGUAGAUAUUCGCAAGAACACCAGUGGCGAAGGCGGCUCACUGGCCCGGUACUGACGCUGAGGCACGAAAGCGUGGGGAGCAAACAGGG